rnacentral:rRNA from 1 species
AUUGAACGCUGGCGGCAUGCUUUACACAUGCAAGUCGAACGGUAACAGGUCUUCGGAUGCUGAUGAGUGGCGAACGGGUGAGUAAUACAUCGGAACGUGCCUAGUAGUGGGGGAUAACUACUCGAAAGAGUAGCUAAUACCGCAUGAGAUCUACGGAUGAAAGCAGGGGACCUUCGGGCCUUGUGCUACUAGAGCGGCUGAUGGCAGAUUAGGUAGUUGGUGGGGUAAAGGCUUACCAAGCCGGCGAUCUGUAGCUGGUCUGAGAGGACGACCAGCCACACUGGGACGGAGACACGGCCCAGACUCCUACGGGAGGCAGCAGUGGGGAAUUUUGGACAAUGGGCGAAAGCCUGAUCCAGCAAUGCCGCGUGCAGGAUGAAGGCCCUCGGGUUGUAAACUGCUUUUGUACGGAACGAAAAGCCUGGGGCUAAUAUCCCCGGGUCAUGACGGUACCGUAAGAAUAAGCACCGGCUAACUACGUGCCAGCCGCCGCAGUAA